UAUUGGACAAUGGGCGCAAGCCUGAUCCAGCCAUGCCGCGUGGAUGAUGAAGGCCUUACGGUUGUAAAGUCCUUUUAACGGGGAAGAUAAUGACGGUACCCGUAGAAUAAGCCCCGGCUAACUUCGUGCCAGCAGCCGCGGUAAUACGAAGGGGGCUAGCGUUGCUCGGAAUUACUGGGCGUAAAGCGCACGUAGGCGGGUUUUUAAGUCGGUGGUGAAAUCCUGGAGCUCAACUCCAGAACUGCCUUCGAUACUGGGAAUCUUGAGUCCGGGAGAGGUGAGUGGAACUGCGAGUGUAGAGGUGAAAUUCGUAGAUAUUCGCAAGAACACCAGUGGCGAAGGCGGCUCACGGCCCGGUACUGACGCUGAGGUGCGAAA
rnacentral:rRNA from 1 species